AGGCUUUGAUCAUGGCUCAGAACGAACGCUGGCGGCGUGCUUAACACAUGCAAGUCGCGGGAGGAUGGAGUGUUUGUACUUUGAGUUGACCGGCGGACGGGUGCGUAACAUGUAAGUGAUUUGUUCUUGUGUGGGGGAUAACCCGGGGAAACCUGGGCUAAUACCGCAUGUUCCGACCGGGUCGCAUGGCCGGGUCGGGAAAGGUGGCCUCUUCAUGAAAGCCAUCGUGCGAGGAGGAGCUUGCGGGCUAUCAGCUGGUUGGUGAGGUAACGGCUCACCAAGGCGACGACGGCUAGCGGGUCUGAGAGGAUGAUCCGCCACAUUGGGACUGAGACACGGCCCAGACUCCUACGGGAGGCAGCAGUGGGGAAUAUUGGGCAAUGGCCGCAAGGCUGACCCAGCGACGCCGCGUGCGGGAGGAAGCCUUUCGGGGUGUAAACCGCUGUCAGGGGGGAAGAACACCGGGGAUUCGAACAGGGUAUCCCGUCUGACGGUACCCUCCAGUAGGAAGCGCCGGCUAACUCUCGAUCAUU
rnacentral:rRNA from 1 species